AACGAACGCUGGCGGCAUGCCUAACACAUGCAAGUCGAACGAGACCUUCGGGUCUAGUGGCGCACGGGUGCGUAACGCGUGGGAACCUGCCCUUAGGUUCGGAAUAACUCCCCGAAAGGGGUGCUAAUACCGGAUAAUGUCUUCGGACCAAAGAUUUAUCGCCUUUGGAUGGGCCCGCGUUGGAUAGCUAGUUGGUAGGGUAAAAGCCUACCAAGGCGACGAUCCAUAGCUGGUCUGAGAGGAUGAUCAGCCACACUGGGACUGAGACACGGCCCAGACUCCUACGGGAGGCAGCAGUGGGGAAUAUUGGACAAUGGGCGAAAGCCUGACCCAGCAAUGCCGCGUGAGUGAUGAAGGCCUUAGGGUUGUAAAGCUCUUUUACCCGGGAUGAUAAUGACAGUACCGGGAGAAUAAGCUCCGGCUAACUCCGUG
rnacentral:rRNA from 1 species